rnacentral:tRNA from 3 species
GCGGAUGUAGUUCAGUGGUAGAACGUCUCCUUGCCAAGGAGAAGGUCACCGGUUCGAAUCCGGCCAUCCGCUCAA